ACGCUCGACACCUAGGAGGCAGCAGUGGGGAAUAUUGCACAAUGGGGGAAACCCUGAUGCAGCGACGCCGCGUGGAGGAAGAAGGUCUUCGGAUUGUAAACUCCUGUUGUUGGGGAAAAAGAGGAUGGUACCCAACAAGGAAGUGACGGCUAACUACGUGCCAGCAGCUGAGUAUNGAGGCGGNUGANAGC
rnacentral:rRNA from 1 species